rnacentral:lncRNA from 1 species
AUUGCUUUUCCUUGUGUUUAAUUGUCUCUUUCCUAGGUGUCUUUUCUCCCUUGUUCUUUUCCUAGCAUGUUCUAUGAGGUUUCUCCGAACAUAGCACAACAGAUGGUUCCCUUUAAAAUAUAUUAUCAGUCUCUCCCAAACCAAGAGAUUCUCGCUCUCCAUUAAUUAUCAGUCUCUCCCAAACCCUGUCUCUACUAGAUAAAGUCACAGUAGAAAACAAGAAGCCAAGAAGAAGCACCUAUCUUAUGACACGUAUUCAAACCAAGAGAUUCUCGCUCUCCAUUAAUUAUCAGUCUCUCCCAAACCCUGUCUCUACUAGAUAAAGUCACAGUAGAAAACAAGAAGCCAAGAAGAAGCACCUAUCUUAUGACACGUAUUCAAACCAAGAGAUUCUCGCUCUCCAUUAAUUAUCCCGGACAAUUCCACUCAAUAAUUGUUAUUCUUUAUUUGGUUA